UACGUAGGGUGCAAGCGUUUGUCCGGAAUUAUUGGGCGUAAAGAGCUCGUAGGCGGUUUGUCGCGUCUGCUGUGAAAACUCGGGGCUUAACCCCGGGCCUGCAGUGGGUACGGGCAGACUAGAGUGCGGUAGGGGAGACUGGAAUUCCUGGUGUAGCGGUGAAAUGCGCAGAUAUCAGGAGGAACACCGGUGGCGAAGGCGGAUCUCUGGGCCAUUACUGACGCUGAGGAGCGAAAGCGUGGGGAGCGAACAGG
rnacentral:rRNA from 1 species